rnacentral:lncRNA from 1 species
AUGUCGCAGAGGAAGCAGGUGCUGCGCGGUCCGAUGACGUGGAGAUCUGCGCCAGGGACGAAGGAGAAGAUGGAACCGGGAAGACACCAGGAAGGAGGUGAGAAAGUGGAGACGGAGAUUCUAAUAACAGGCUUGUUGUACUGGAGCGAGCUUAGAAAGUCAGCACCGAGACAAAGCAUGUCCUCAUGUCCGCAGCUAGCACAAGGAAGCCUGCUGUGUCCCUGCAAUAAGCAAACAACCAAGGAGCAGUCAUUCUCCCUUGUUCUAGUUCGCAAGCUAAAUGGAGCCUUGGGCCAUCAUUCCUAUAAACUGCUGACUCCAUAAGAAAAUGACUUUAUUCUUGAUUUCCAGAGUAUUGUCACUUUCAGUUGUGAUCAUCUUGUAAGAAAACUAUUGCUUUGCUACCAUGAAUAAACCAGUAAUAGCCUCAGUAAACUUGUUGAUGUUGCUUCCUUUUUUCUUACCUGUUGAGUGGUUUCCACAAAGACGGAUGAAAUGAUUGUCACUUUCUAGCCUUACAACAAUAGCAAAACCCUAAAUAAACAGGAAGUUAACAACUUUUCUAGAACCUACCAGAAAGCCCAACAGGACAACCAACUGGCCUGAAAUCUAAGGAGGGACAGGAGCCUGCAGGGGGAGUUGAAAUGCCAGCACUGUUUUACCGGGGCAGGAUGUGAUCAGUGUGAAGAGCUCGGCAAAGGUGAUUGGUCUAUUGAUGGAGACUGAGUGCGACCGAGUAAAGCACUAAGGGCCAUAUAUACAGGGAAGUCCAUAUCCUAUUGCAGAUUUUUUCUACCUGAAUCCUUCUGUGCACUCGGAGGAAAUUUUGAAAGUUUGUUUUGUAGCAUAGAGUGGAGAAAGAAAACUGUAACCACUGUAGGAGAAGCAAGG